rnacentral:rRNA from 1 species
UACGUAGGGGGCAAGCGUUGUCCGGAUUUACUGGGCGUAAAGAGCGUGUAGGCGGCCACGCAGGUCCGUUGUGAAAACUGGAGGCUCAACUUCCAGCCGUCGACGGAAACCGUGUGGCUAGAGUCCGGAAGAGGAGGGUGGAAUUCCUGGUGUAGCGGUGAAAUGCGCAGAUAUCAGGAAGAACACCAAUGGCGAAGGCAGCUCUCUGGGACGGUACUGACGCUGAGACGCGAAAGCGUGGGGAGCGAACAGG